rnacentral:lncRNA from 1 species
CCAGAUGCUCCUUAAAAUCAGGGCAAUCACUGGAGUGUCACUUGGAUCCUCAGUGUUGCAGUUGAGACCAUAAAUCAUCCAUAUGAUGACAAGAAAAAUAAAUAUCAAAAUGUCUAUAAUUGAAAGAGAAAGAGAAGUUUAAAUUUACAUUUUUAAUUUAGGAAAUACUGUGUAGCAAAUAAUAGCUAUUUAAAAUUAUAUUAUUUUUAUGGCGUAUGAUAUAAAUGCUUAGUUUAAUUUUCUCAUGGUGUUUUCUUUCAGAGGGAUUAUUUUUAACAAUUCAUGAAAGGUGAAAAUCAUUUUUAAAUGAGAGCUUUCUUAUUUAUGUCAAAUUUCUUCUCUUAAUUAACACUUUGGAACAUUCUGUCUAAAGCGUAAAUAGCAUAUAGAUAUAUUUACAUAUGCUGAAAUUAAAUUGUGGUUGGUUAAAAAUUAAAAUUUAAACAUAGAUGUUAAAUUAUUUAAGAUAAAAUUAUAUAUAUGGUCUUAAAAAUAUUCUAAUAUGAAACAACUAUGUAUAAAUGAAAAUAUUAUAAAGGGCCUAGCAAUAGGAAAUGGUGAGUAAGUCCAAUUUUCUUCCAGGCUCCACCAUUUUUAUUUUAUUUUAUUUUAUUUUAUUUUAUUUUAUUUUAUUUUAUUUUAUUUUAUUUGUGUUCACCCAUGUAGAUGCAGCUAUUUAACAAUAUUACUAAAAUAAUAACUAUCUCCCUUUAUAUAAUAAUCUAUUACUUUUAUUAUGUAUAAUGGUAAAUAUUUAUUUGGCAACUCAUUUAAUAUUCUUAAAAAUGGGUCAUUAUUAAUGUUUACUUUUAUAAUAUUAUAAAUUAAUUAAUUCAUAUUGUCUCUAAUUUUCUUGGUUUUGAAAAAAGUUUUGGGUUUACAUAUCAGGCAUUGUUCAUGAUUAUGAUUAUAGAAAAAAAUGUAUAUCACAACUUUAUCUUUUGCUGAUUUCCAAACUCAUAUCUUUUCGUGUCUAAUUUUAGCCUUUCAUGGAAGAGAAAAAUUAAAGAAAUGAUGUUUGGAAUGUUUCUGCCACAUCCAAAUCGAAAAGUUAAGGAAAAGAGAAAUUAAGUUAUACAGAGAUGAACUUUUCCUUUGAAACAUGCACAGAAAUGCCUGAUGAAGGAAUAGAAACAUUAUAAGCAAAUAUUAGGAUCAGUAACAGCAGAGUAAGGAAACCCCCUAAUGGAAUCUGGAAGACCAUCUAAACUGUGAUAUACUCUAUCACACAAUUUUAAAACGAGAUGUUUAAGCCUAACAACACACUACUGUAAAACUAUAUCUUUAAAAAUAAGAACAACUAUUCUGCAUCUUCAAAAAAUGUUGUUGGUUUAGGAAUUUCCCUCUCAACCCCGUGUAACUAAAUCAACAUAGAAAUAAACCCUCACAUUUGAGGGUAUGUGAAUUCUAU